rnacentral:rRNA from 1 species
CUGGACCUCGGAUCAGGCCAGGCUACCCGCUGAAUUUAAGCAUAUUAAUAAGCGGAGGAAAAGAAACUAACAAGGAUUCCCCCAGUAACGGCGAGCGAAGCGGGAACAGCUCAAAUUUGAAAUCUCCGGUGCUUGCACCGGCGAAUUGUAGUCUGUAGGGCCAGUUUCGCCCGAGACAGCGUCCCCAAAGUCGUCCUGGAAAGGCGAGCCGGAGAGGGUGAGAGCCCCGUACGCGGGGGCGCUGUCGAGGGUAAGAUCUGUGCCCGAAGAGUCGGGUUGUUUGGGAUUGCAGCCCAAAAUGGGUGGUAAACUCCAUCUAAAGCUAAAUACCGGCACGGGACCGAUAGCG